rnacentral:pre_miRNA from 2 species
AGGGUGAAGGUUGCGGUAUGGCUGGUACUGAGAUAAUGGCUGCUCCAGUAUCAGACAUGCCGCCCCCCUCCCUGUAC